UACAGAGGGGGCAAGCGUUUAUUCGGAAAUUAUUGGGCGUAAAGGGCGCGUAGGCGGCUUUGCAAGUGGCGGGUGAAAUCCCUCGGCUUAACCGAGGAACUGCCUGCCAGACUGUGAGGCUUGAGACCGGGGAGAGGUGAGUGGAAUUCCCAGUGUAGCGGUGAAAAUGCGUAGAUAUCGGGGAGGAACACCUGUGGCGAAGGCGGCCACCUGGUUGGAUCUGACGCUGAGGAGCGAAAGCGUGGGGAGCAAACAGG
rnacentral:rRNA from 1 species